rnacentral:lncRNA from 1 species
GCUCUCUAUUUGCUUCGUCUCUCUUUCUCUGAUCUACGAAUUCUUCGAUCUUCCUCAUAGCUUCUUCUCUUUCUCUGAUACGAGCCCGUGAUCUUCCAUCGCUUUGCUUCACUCUUCGCAUCUUGCUUCCAUGGCCUGAAUUUCUCAUAGAUCAGACAUGGCAGAAGGAAAUCAGAUACAACAUGGGUUGAUAUUUCCUAGGGAGCGCCCACAAAUGGGUGACAAUGUUGAUCUCAACCCCUUUCCUCAUCAAUUGGUUGCCCCUAUAA